rnacentral:rRNA from 1 species
GGAAGGAUCAUUAUCGAAUAAACUUGCACAGGCUGUUGCUGGCCCUCGAGAGGGGGUAUGUGCACGCUUGUCAUCUUUAUCAUUUCUCCCAACUUGUGCACAUACUUGUAGACCUGUUUAUAUUUUUUCGGAUUUUAAUAUUCGAGUUGGGGGAUUGCUGCGCUUCAGUGACAAGUCGGCUUUCCCUCGUAUUUUUCAGGUCUAUGUCAUUGUUUUCACAACCUCUAUAAAAUGUUUAGAAUGUUGAAUAAUAAGUUAUAAACAACUUUCAGCAACGGAUCUCUUGGCUCUCGCAUCGAUGAAGAACGCAGCGAAAUGCGAUAAGUAAUGUGAAUUGCAGAAUUCAGUGAAUCAUCGAAUCUUUGAACGCAUCUUGCGCCCCUUGGUAUUCCGAGGAGCAUGCCUGUUUGAGUGUCAUUUGACUUCUCUCAACCACAUCAGUCAUUGAUGUGGCUUGGAUGUGGGGGUUUGCAGGCUUUCCAGAAGUCCAGCUCCCCUGAAAUGCAUUAGUGGUAUCUGAGCUGCUAUUUGGUGUGAUAAUUUAUCUAUGCCUUUGGUAAUGCUGGUCAGCAACUGCUUAUAACAACUUCAUUUGACAAAUUUGACCUCAAAUCAGG